GUCUCCGGACAUAUCAGCCUGAAGGCGCUAGAUCUUGUCUGCUCUCAGAAGUUAAGCAGGGUCGGGCCAGGUUAGUAUCUUGGAUGGGAGACCACCUGGGAAUCCCGGAUGCUCGAGGCU
rnacentral:rRNA from 1 species